GGUUAAGCGACUAAGCGUACACGGUGGAUGCCCUGGCAGUCAGAGGCGAUGAAGGACGUGCUAAUCUGCGAUAAGCGUCGGUAAGGUGAUAUGAACCGUUAUAACCGGCGAUUUCCGAAUGGGGAAACCCAGUGUGAUUCGUCACACUAUCAUUAACUGAAUCCAUAGGUUAAUGAGGCGAACCGGGGGAACUGAAACAUCUAAGUACCCCGAGGAAAAGAAAUCAACCGAGAUUCCCCCAGUAGCGGCGAGCGAACGGGGAGGAGCCCAGAGCCUGAAUCAGUGUGUGUGUUAGUGGAAGCGUCUGGAAAGGCGCGCGAUACAGGGUGACAGCCCCGUACACAAAAAUGCACAUGCUGUGAGCUCGAUGAGUAGGGCGGGACACGUGGUAUCCUGUCUGAAUAUGGGGGGACCAUCCUCCAAGGCUAAAUACUCCUGACUGACCGAUAGUGAACCAGUACCGUGAGGGAAAGGCGAAAAGAACCCCGGCGAGGGGAGUGAAAAAGAACCUGAAACCGUGUACGUACAAGCAGUGGGAGCACGCUUCGGCGUGUGACUGCGUACCUUUUGUAUAAUGGGUCAGCGACUUAUAUUCUGUAGCAAGGUUAACCGAAUAGGGGAGCCGAAGGGAAACCGAGUCUUAACUGGGCGUUAAGUUGCAGGGUAUAGACCCGAAACCCGGUGAUCUAGCCAUGGGCAGGUUGAAGGUUGGGUAACACUAACUGGAGGACCGAACCGACUAAUGUUGAAAAAUUAGCGGAUGACUUGUGGCUGGGGGUGAAAGGCCAAUCAAACCGGGAGAUAGCUGGUUCUCCCCGAAAGCUAUUUAGGUAGCGCCUCGUGAAUUCAUCUCCGGGGGUAGAGCACUGUUUCGGCAAGGGGGUCAUCCCGACUUACCAACCCGAUGCAAACUGCGAAUACCGGAGAAUGUUAUCACGGGAGACACACGGCGGGUGCUAACGUCCGUCGUGAAGAGGGAAACAACCCAGACCGCCAGCUAAGGUCCCAAAGUCAUGGUUAAGUGGGAAACGAUGUGGGAAGGCCCAGACAGCCAGGAUGUUGGCUUAGAAGCAGCCAUCAUUUAAAGAAAGCGUAAUAGCUCACUGGUCGAGUCGGCCUGCGCGGAAGAUGUAACGGGGCUAAACCAUGCACCGAAGCUGCGGCAGCGACACUAUGUGUUGUUGGGUAGGGGAGCGU
rnacentral:rRNA from 1 species